rnacentral:rRNA from 1 species
ACGUCCCAGUUCGGAUUGUAGUCUGCAACCCGACUACAUGAAGCUGGAAUCGCUAGUAAUCGCGGAUCAGAAUGCCGCGGUGAAUACGUUCCCGGGUCUUGUACACACCGCCCGUCACACCAUGGAGUCGGAAAUGCCCGAAGUCUGUGACCCAACCUUAGGGAGGGAGCAGCCGAGGCAGGUCGGAUGACUGGGGUGAAGUCGUAACAAGGUACC